rnacentral:sRNA from 1 species
GAUACAAGGGGCAAAAGGUCAGAACUCGUUCCUGCCUGCAGGAUAAGAGCUCUGACUUGCUGACUCGCACACACAUGAGGAAGUAGUGAUUUUCCUGGGAAAAUCAACGGAUUCCGAAUGUGUGUAGAAUUGCGGGAGUUGCAUAGCAACGGAGCAAUUUGU